rnacentral:rRNA from 1 species
CCUACGGGUGGCUGCAGUGGGGAAUUUUGGACAAUGGGGGCAACCCUGAUCCAGCCAUGCCGCGUGCGGGAAGAAGGCCUUCGGGUUGUAAACCGCUUUUAGCCGGGAAGAAAAGGGCAGGGAUAACACCCCUGUCACUUGACGGUACCGGCGGAAUAAGCACCGGCUAACUACGUGCCAGCAGCCGCGGUAAUACGUAGGGUGCGAGCGUUAAUCGGAAUUACUGGGCGUAAAGCGUGCGCAGGCGGUUCGUUAAGUUCGAUGUGAAAGCCCCG